AGAACGCUGAGACGCUGGCGGCAGGCCUACACAUGCAAGUCGAGCGGUAGCACAGAGAGCUUGCUCUCGGGUGACGAGCGGCGGACGGGUGAGUAAUGUCUGGGAAACUGCCUGAUGGAGGGGGAUAACUACUGGAAACGGUAGCUAAUACCGCAUAACGUCGCAAGACCAAAGUGGGGGACCUUCGGGCCUCAUGCCAUCAGAUGUGCCCAGAUGGGAUUAGCUAGUAGGUGGGGUAACGGCUCACCUAGGCGACGAUCCCUAGCUGGUCUGAGAGGAUGACCAGCCACACUGGAACUGAGACACGGUCCAGACUCCUACGGGAGGCAGCAGUGGGGAAUAUUGCACAAUGGGCGCAAGCCUGAUGCAGCCAUGCCGCGUGUGUGAAGAAGGCCUCCCGCUUGUAAAGCACUUUCAGCGGGGAGGAGGGCGAUAAGGGUAAUAACCCUUGUCGAUUGACCUUCCCCGCAAAGAAAACCCCCCGGCUUACUGCCGUGCCCCCGGGCGGGUUAAAAACGGGAGGGGGGGCAUUCUUUUAUUCGUAAAUGGGGUGGGACAAAAAGGCCCCCCCCGGCGGGGUCGGGGCCGAGGGGAAAAUUAAAAUGCGGUUUAACUUGGGGGGGGACUUUUUACCAAGGGGGGGGAGUUUUAUGGUUUUAGAGGGGGGAAAAAAAUCCCCGGGGGGGGGGGGACUUUGCAUUA
rnacentral:rRNA from 1 species